rnacentral:rRNA from 1 species
UAAGUAAGCGGAGGAAAAGAAACUAACUAGGAUUCCCUUAGUAAUGGCGAAUGAACAGGGAUCAGCUCAGUGCCUAAUCAGAAUCACUUGUGGUUCUGAAAUGUGGCUUGAAGGCAGUACCAGUGGCAACGCGGACGAAAGUCUCUUGGAAAAGAGCGUCAUAGAGGGUGAGAAUCCCGUGAGUCGUUUGCAGUUUGUCACGUACGGUCUGUGUUCUAACGAGUCGCGUUCCUUGGGAUUGGAGCGUAAACGGGUGGUAAAUUUCAUCCAAAGCAAAAUAUAUACUCGAGACCGAUAGCACAAAAGUACCGUGAGGAAAGGUGAAAAGAACUUUGAGAAGAGGGUUAAAUAGUGCCUGAAAUCGUUGAGAAGGAAGCGGAUGCCGCCGUUGCAUAUGCUGAUUGUAGGAUUGCUGCAUGCUUGUGUCUUCUGCUACUUAUACACAGACCUAGUCGUGUUGAGCAGUUGUUUGGCACUCGUGCGUGGUGUUUCCUGCUUUCAGCCGUCAGCAUCAUUGGUUGAGCGGAAAUAAUCCUUGGAUGCUAAUUGGUUCGCUAUGCGAAUUGGUUGCUUCUUUGCGAUACUCGCUGCUCGGUCAAUGAGGAAGUGCGUUUGAUGGUCAACGAGUUGUCUCACUGUCAUUACCCUGCGCUUUUCGAUUCGUCGAGUUGCCAGGAUGUGGCUCUAAGAUUGCUCGCACUUAGUAAUCGCGAUGCUGGCUUCCAACGGUUGCCUCCGGCCCGUCUUGAAACACGGACCAAGGAGUCUAACGUAUGUGCGAGUGUGUGAGUGGCAAACUUAUACGCGUAAUGAAAGUGAGCCGUAUGGCCAUGUUGGGGUCACCAACAACCGACCUUGAUCUUCGGUGAAAGGUUUGAGUAUGAGCAUAUCCGUUAGACCCGAAAGAUGGUGAACUAUGCCUGAGCAGGGUGAAGCCAGGGGAAACUCUGGUGGAGGCUCGUAGCGAUA